AUUGAACGCUGGCGGCAGGCUUAACACAUGCAAGUCGAGCGGAGCGAGGGUGCUUGCACCUUAGCUUAGCGGCGGACGGGUGAGUAAUGCUUAGGAAUCUGCCUAUUAGUGGGGGACAACAUUCCGAAAGGAAUGCUAAUACCGCAUACGCCCUACGGGGGAAAGCAGGGGAUCUUCGGACCUUGCGCUAAUAGAUGAGCCUAAGUCGGAUUAGCUAGUUGGUGGGGUAAAGGCCUACCAAGGCGACGAUCUGUAGCGGGUCUGAGAGGAUGAUCCGCCACACUGGGACGGAGACACGGCCCAGACUCCUACGGGAGGCAGCAGUGGGGAAUAUUGGACAAGUGGCGGAAGCCUGAUCCAGCCAUGCCGCGUGUGUGAAGAAGGCCUUUUGGUUGUAAAGCACUUUAAGCGAGGAGGAGGCUACUUAGAUUAAUACUCUGGGAUAGUGGACGUUACUCGCAGAAUAAGCACCGGCUAACUCUGUGCCAGCCGCCGCCGUAA
rnacentral:rRNA from 1 species